rnacentral:rRNA from 1 species
GACGAACGCUGGCGGCGUGCCUAAUACAUGCCAGUAGAACGCUGAAGGAGGAGCUUGCUCUUCUGGAUGAGUUGCGAACGGGUGAGUAACGCGUAGGUAACCUGCCUGGUAGCGGGGGAUAACUAUUGGAAACGAUAGCUAAUACCGCAUAACAGUAGAUGUUGCAUGACAUUUACUUAAAAGGUGCAAUUGCAUCACUACCAGAUGGACCUGCGUUGUAUUAGCUAGUUGGUGGGGUAACGGCUCACCAAGGCGACGAUACAUAGCCGACCUGAGAAGGUGAUCGGCCACACUGGGACUGAGACACGGCCCAGACUCCUACGGGAGGCAGCAGUAGGGAAUCUUCGGCAAUGGACGGAAGUCUGACCGAGCAACGCCGCGUGAGUGAAGAAGGUUUUCGGAUCGUAAAGCUCUGUUGUAAGAGAAGAACGAGUGUGAGAGUGGAAAGUUCACACUGUGACGGUAUCUUACCAGAAAGGGACGGCUAGCUACGUG